rnacentral:rRNA from 1 species
GGCAUCGGGAAGAAAGCUUGCUUUCUUUGCCGGCGACCGGCGCACGGGUGAGUAACACGUAUCCAACCUGCCCUUUACUCGGGGAUAGCCUUUCGAAAGAAAGAUUAAUACCCGAUAGCAUAAUGAUUCCGCAUGGUUUCAUUAUUAAAGGAUUCCGGUAAAGGAUGGGGAUGCGUUCCAUUAGGUUGUUGGUGGGGUAACGGCCCACCAAGCCUUCGAUGGAUAGGGGUUCUGAGAGGAAAGGUCCCCCACAUUGGAACUGAGACACGGUCCAAACUCCUACGGGAGGCAGCAGUGAGGAAUAUUGGUCAAUGGGCGCUAGCCUGAACCAGCCAAGUAGCGUGAAGGAUGAAGGCUCUAUGGGUCGUAAACUUCUUUUAUAUAAGAAUAAAGUGCAGUAUGUAUACUGUUUUGUAUGUAUUAUAUGAAUAAGGAUCGGCUAACUCCGUGCCAGCAGCCGCGGUAAUACGGAGGAUCCGAGCGUUAUCCGGAUUUAUUGGGUUUAAAGGGAGCGUAGGUGGACUGGUAAGUCAGUUGUGAAAGUUUGCGGCUCAACCGUAAAAUUGCAGUUGAUACUGUCAGUCUUGAGUACAGUAGAGGUGGGCGGAAUUCGUGGUGUAGCGGUGAAAUGCUUAGAUAUCACGAAGAACUCCGAUUGCGAAGGCAGCUCACU